GCGUAAGAUUAGGUAGUUGGUGGGGUAAAGGCCUACCAAGCCGACGAUCUUUAGCUGGUCUGAGAGGAUGAUCAGCCACACUGGGACUGAGACACGGCCCAGACUCCUACGGGAGGCAGCAGUGGGGAAUAUUGGACAAUGGGCGAAAGCCUGAUCCAGCAAUGCCGCGUGAGUGAUGAAGGCCUUAGGGUUGUAGAGCUCUUUUACCCGGGAUGAUAAUGACAGUACCGGGAGAAUAAGCCCCGGCUAACUCCGUGCCAGCAGCCGCGGUAAUACGGAGGGGGCUAGCGUUGUUCGGAAUUACUGGGCGUAAAGCACACGUAGGCGGCUAUUCAAGUCAGAGGUGAAAGCCUGGAGCUUAACUCCAGAACUGCCUUUGAAACUAGAUAGCUAGAAUCAUGGAGAGGCGGGUGGAAUUCCGAGUGUAGAGGUGAAAUUCGUAGAUAUUCGGAAGAACACCAGUGGCGAAGGCGGCC
rnacentral:rRNA from 1 species